rnacentral:lncRNA from 10 species
AUUCAUUCCAUACCACCUCCCUUCUGACAGCUAAACCUUGGUUACUCAUAUUAUCUUGAUGGGCCUCCCUCCUUCUCUCGGAAACAGUUCUCUUGCAGAAUCCCAGACAUGUCGAAUGAUUGUCCGUGGACCCAUCUGAUGUUGGUGCUCACAGAAUCUGAUUGCUUAGAAGGCCUCGGGCAGCAAGUCUUCAAGCUCCUUAGAAAAGGAAUGGCUGCAGCAUUUCUCAACUGGGAUUCUGUGAAUAAAUGAAACCCUACAGAAAAUGACACCAGUGACUUUUCUCAGUCCUCCCAGGAAUGACACCAUUCUACAGGCAUGGGAAAGAAGUUGAUUCAUUACAAACAGGGGCUGUCCCCGAAUGUUAGGGCUUAAUUCUUUCUGGAAGUCAGUUAAGAAAGGCUGGUGGGGAGUUUAUUUAGGUAUUUAAUGAAUACCUGUUUGAUAUCUGCGGGCAUUGUUCUAAGCCCUACACUGUCCAGUUCGGUAGUCAUGAUCCAACCACAUGUCCAUUGAGCAUUUGCAAUGAGUCUUAUCCAAAUUGUGAUGUACUCUAAGUAUAAAACACACACUGAAUUUCAAAGAUUUAGUAUAAUGAAAUGUAAAAUUUCUCAUUAAUAAUUUUUAUAUUGAAUUUUAUGUUGAAAUGACCAUACUUGGAUAGAUUGGGCUAAAUCAGAGGUUGACAAACUUUCCCUCUGAAAGACUGGAUAGUAAGAAUUUUCAGCUUUGUGGAUCACCUGGUCUCAACUAUGCAACUACUCAACUCUGCCAUUGCAGUGCAAAAUCAGCCAUAGACAAUAUAAAAACAAAUGGGCAUGGCUUGUUCCAAUAAAACUUUAUUUAAAAAAAACAGAUGGUGGGCCAGAUUUCCCCCACAGGCUGUAUAGUUUGCUGAUUUCUGUGUUAAAUAAAAUAUUAAAUAUAUUAAU